rnacentral:tRNA from 1 species
GCGGUAAUAGCUCAGUGGUAGAGCGUGUGCUUAGUGUUAGCAUGCGUGAGGUCCUGGGUUCAAUCCCCAGCAUCCCCA